GGCCCCAUUAGGCCUGAUAUUAGUUCCUGAUUCCGAGUCCUUAUCAACCUCAAAUUGGGGAUUACUUAAGCGGCCAGCCAGUCGCUAGGGAUUUGUUGCUGCUGAUUUCCUAAUAUGAGGAGUCAUAACAUGAGUCUGGGAAUGCUAUCAGCUUAGCUCUGGUCUGAAUCCGUAUCCUACCCAUCCAAGAAUCAGGUAGCAAAAGGUUUAGGUAGAACCGGCUGGGUAG
rnacentral:lncRNA from 1 species